AGUUUAUAUUUAAUUAGUCCGAAGACAGUAGGAUCCCGACUCGUCGGGAUUAAAAGAGAAAUCCUACCGAGGCGAGAUUAAUUAAAUUUAUCGCACUCGGUAUGAGUGCUUUUUUUAUGCCAAA
rfam:Candidatus Curtissbacteria bacterium RBG_16_39_7 RBG_16_scaffold_15357, whole genome shotgun sequence.